rnacentral:tRNA from 1 species
AAAAACAUCUACUUUGCACGUAGAAAAUAGAAGUUUAAUUCUUCAAGUUCACA